CAGUCGCCGCGGUAAUACGGAGGGGGCUAGCGUUGUUCGGAAUUACUGGGCGUAAAGCGCACGUAGGCGGCUUGGUAAGUUAGAGGUGAAAGCCCGGAGCUCAACUCCGGAAUUGCCUUUAAGACUGCCGAGCUAGUAGGUGAGAGAGGUAAGUGGAAUUCCGAGUGUAGAGGUGAAAUUCGUAGAUAUUCGGAAGAACACCAGUGGCGAAGGCGGCUUACUGGCUCAUUCUAGACGCUGAGGUGCGAAAGCGUGGGGAGCAAACAGGAUUAGAUACCCGGGUAGUCCCUGUCUCUUAUAC
rnacentral:rRNA from 1 species